rnacentral:lncRNA from 1 species
UUUUCUUCUUUCCUCUCUUCCUCUUUUUCUCAACCUUCUCCUUCUUCCACUUUCUUUUUUUCUUUUUUCUUAUUUUCUCAUUUUUUCUUUUUUUCUCAACCACUGGUUUUUCUUUCUCCUCAUCUUUCUCUCCCUCACUCAACCUUUUUGCUUCAUCUUCCUCUAUUUUCUCCUCUUCUAUCUUUUCCACUUCUCUCUCCACCUUCUCCUCAUCAACAACCUCAUCAAUUUGUGUCUCCAAAUUCCUGAAGGUAACUUCAUAUCUCUUGGAAUCACACCUCUCUAGAUAUUUGUCGAACUUUUCAUUCAAGCUUUUGACUUGUUCCGUCACAUCAGCUGUUUGUUGACAAAGUUAUUGAUCAUACCCCCACGUUUCUUUUGGUGAAGAGCCUUGUUGCUGCCACUGAUAAUGUUGCCUCUCCUCCAUGCUUUCAUGAGAAGAAAAUCUUAUAUGCAUGUCUUGUGGAAAGAGUUCAUCAUUCUUUAUAUCCUCC